CAGGAUGAACGCUGGCGCGUGCUUAACACAUGCAAGUCGAACGGGCAUAGCAAUAUGUCAGUGGCGGACGGGUGAGUAACGCGUGAGCAAUCUGCCCAUAUCUGGGGAAUAGCGGCUGGAAACGCCGGUAAUACCGCAUGGCACCAUAGAGAGGCAUCUCUCAGUGGUUAAAGAUUUAUCGGAUAUGGAUGAGCUCGCGUCCUAUUAGGUAGUUGGUGAGGUAACGGCCCACCAAGCCUGCGAUGGGUAGCCGGCCUGAGAGGGUGAUCGGCCACAUUGGAACUGAGACACGGUCCAAACUCCUACGGGAGGCAGCAGUGGGGAAUAUUGGGCAAUGGGCGCAAGCCUGACCCCAGCAACGCCGCGUGAGUGAUGAAGGUCUUCGGAUUGUAAAACUCUUUAAGCAGGGAAGAAGAAAGUGACGGUACCUGCAGAAUAAGCAUCGGCUAACUACGUGCC
rnacentral:rRNA from 1 species